CGUCUACACCUUCACAAGUUGCCAAAAACGUUGGCAAAAAGUGGCCAAAGAACCAUCCUAUAUUAACAGAUGCUAGACUAUGAAUAGCCGUAGCUAUCUCAUCUGCCAAUAAAUUAUGGGACCUAUAUAAAUAAGAAAUGUUCAUCUUCUUCGGGAUGUCCAAGGGUUCGCAAUACUGAGGUAUUAUAAAAAUACUGCCACCGAUGCAUAAGAAUACUAAAACGUAAUACAAAGAUUAUGAUUUUUAAUAUAAAAAUCAAAUAUAUAUGUUAUUAAAAUAUAUUACCUAUGAAAGAG